rnacentral:rRNA from 1 species
UACGGAGGGGGCUAGCGUUGUUCGGAAUUACUGGGCGUAAAGCGCACGUAGGCGGAUGCUUAAGUCGGGGGUGAAAUCCCGGGGCUCAACCCCGGAACUGCCUUCGAUACUGGGUGUCUGGAGGUCGAGAGAGGUGAGUGGAAUUCCGAGUGUAGAGGUGAAAUUCGUAGAUAUUCGGAGGAACACCAGUGGCGAAGGCGGCUCACUGGCUCGAUACUGACGCUGAGGUGCGAAAGCGUGGGGAGCAAACAGG